AAGGAGGGUAGGGAAGGGGGCACUCAGCUGGCUGGAAGAGGAAGGGGAAUAGCCCACAGAAAGCGCCCACGCGGAAUCUCCUCCAGUUACAGAAAGCUGGCCUAGCCAGGAAGGCCUGGGUUCAAGUCCUGUCACUGAUGCAACUUGGUUAUGUGGACCUGGACAAAUCACAACCUCUCAGUCCUCGGGGUGCUGUACCAAAAACAAAGGAGCGAACACACUUAUGGAUCACUUUUUAAAGUUAGUCGUUGACAAAUUGACUGUGGUGGGCAGUGGACUUCAGAAUCGUCAAGAAAUGCUACAUGGGUGUAAUUAAGAGUACUUUUGUGCCUUAAUCAUGACCUUAAUCUAUGAAUGAAAAGAAACACCCUUUUGGUUCAGAUCUGUGAUUUCAUGAACAUAGAGAACUCCUGACAGUAGAAACUACCUCCACUUAUGCCUAUUGAACAUGUAGGAAACUUGUCUGUAACUUAGAGCCUUAAAGAGUGACCUGGGGUCACCAAAAGGUUAAGUGAUUGGUGUGUAGUCACAUAGCCAGUGCAUAUCAGAGGUAGGACAUGAAUCCAGGUUUUCUUGACCCCAAGGCCAGUCUUUCACAUGUGCGUAUAUGCAUACGGAUGUAUAUUUAUACACAUGUACACACAUAUAA